UGAUGGGUUGUCUGCUGGCUCGCAAGGGCAUGUGCACGCCUGUCUCAUCCACUCUCAACUUCUGUGCACUUUUCAUAGGCCGGCUUGUGGGUGCGUUCGCGCACUUGUAGGUGUCGGGCUUAUGCUUUACUACAAACGAUUCAGUUUUAGAAUGUCAUACUUUGCUAUAACGCAAUUAUAUACAACUUUCAGCAACGGAUCUCUUGGCUCUCGCAUCGAUGAAGAACGCAGCGAAAUGCGAUAAGUAAUGUGAAUUGCAGAAUUCAGUGAAUCAUCGAAUCUUUGAACGCACCUUGCGCUCCUUGGUAUUCCGAGGAGCAUGCCUGUUUGAGUCUCAUGGAAUUCUCAACCUUCAGCUUUAUUGAUGAAGGCUUGGACUUGGAGGUCGUGCCGGCUCUCGUAGUCGGCUCCUCUGAAAUGCAUUAGUGCGAACGUUACCAGCCGCUUCAGCGUGAUAAUUAUCUGCGUUGCUGUGGAGGGUAUUCUAGUGUUCACGCUUCUAACCGUCUUCGGACAAAUUUCUGAACUCUGAGCUCAAAUCAGGUAGGACUACCCGCUGAACUUAAGCAUAUCAAUAA
rnacentral:rRNA from 1 species